rnacentral:rRNA from 1 species
UUCCUUGAGGAGUGGCUUCCGGAGCUAACGCGUUAAGUCGACCGCCUGGGGAGUACGGCCGCAAGGUUAAAACUCAAAUGAAUUGACGGGGGCCCGCACAAGCGGUGGAGCAUGUGGUUUAAUUCGAUGCAACGCGAAGAACCUUACCUACUCUUGACAUCCAGCGAACUUAGCAGAGAUGCUUUGGUGCCUUCGGGAACGCUGAGACAGGUGCUGCAUGGCUGUCGUCAGCUCGUGUUGUGAAAUGUUGGGUUAAGUCCCGCAACGAGCGCAACCCUUAUCCUUUGUUGCCAGCGAUUCGGUCGGGAACUCAAAGGAGACUGCCGGUGAUAAACCGGAGGAAGGUGGGGAUGACGUCAAGUCAUCAUGGCCCUUACGAGUAGGGCUACACACGUGCUACAAUGGCGCAUACAAAGAGAAGCGACCUCGCGAGAGCAAGCGGACCUCACAAAGUGCGUCGUAGUCCGGAUCGGAGUCUGCAACUCGACUCCGUGAAGUCGGAAUCGCUAGUAAUCGUGGAUCAGAAUGCCACGGUGAAUACGUUCCCGGGCCUUGUACACACCGCCCGUCACACCAUGGGAGUGGGUUGCAAAAGAAGUAGGUAGCUUAACCUUCGGGAGGGCGCUUACCACUUUGUGAUUCAUGACUGGGGUGAAGUCGUA